rnacentral:rRNA from 1 species
UACGUAGGGGGCAAGCGUUGUCCGGAUUUACUGGGCGUAAAGGGCGCGCAGGCGGCUCAUUUUGUCAGGCGUGAAAGCCCCGGGCUUAACCUGGGAACUGCGUUUGAUACGGAUGGGCUAGAGUUCGGGAGAGGAGAGUGGAAUUCCCAGUGUAGAGGUGAAAUUCGUAGAUAUUGGGAAGAACACCGGUGGCGAAGGCGGCUCUCUGGGACGUGACUGACGCUGAGACGCGAAAGCGUGGGGAGCGAACAGG